rnacentral:rRNA from 1 species
UACGUAGGGGGCAAGCGUUGUCCGGAUUUAUUGGGCGUAAAGAGCGUGUAGGCGGCCAUACAGGUCAGCUGUGAAAACUCGAGGCUCAACCUCGAGACGUCGGUUGAAACCGUUUGGCUAGAGUCCGGAAGAGGAGAGUGGAAUUCCCGGUAUAGCGGUGAAAUGCGCAGAUAUCGGGAAGAACACCCGUGGCGAAGGCGGCUCUCUGGGACGGUACUGACGCUGAGACGCGAAAGCGUGGGGAGCGAACAGG